GCGUAGGCGGGUUGAUAAGUCAGUGGUGAAAUCCCCGAGCUUAACUUGGGAACUGCCAUUGAUACUAUUAGUCUUGAAUACCGUGGAGGUCGACGGAAUAUGUCAUGUAGCGGUGAAAUGCUUAGAUAUGACAUAGAACACCAAUUGCGAAGGCAGUUGACUACGCGAGUAUUGACGCUGAUGCACGAAAGCGUGGGGAUCAAACAGGAUUAGAUACCCUGGUAGUCCACGCCCUAAACUAUGGAUACUCGACAUACGCGAUACACAGUGUGUGUCUGAGCGAAAGCAUUAAGUAUCCCACCUGGGAAGUACGAUCGCAAGAUUGAAACUCAAAGGAAUUGG
rnacentral:rRNA from 1 species